rnacentral:rRNA from 1 species
AAGCGUGCGCAGGCGGUUAUAUAAGACAGAUGUGAAAUCCCCGGGCUCAACCUGGGAACUGCAUUUGUGACUGUAUAGCUGGAGUGCGGCAGAGGGGGAUGGAAUUCCGCGUGUAGCAGUGAAAUGCGUAGAUAUGCGGAGGAACACCGAUGGCGAAGGCAAUCCCCCUGGGCCUGCACUGACGCUCAUGCACGAAAGCGUGGGGAGCAAACAGGAUUAGAUACCCUAGU